GGGUGAGAUUGGGAAAUAGUGAUAAGGAAGGAGCCCCAUCUACAACACUCUACCAUACUUCCAUCCUAGACUGGAGAUACAAAGGCGUCUUCCACUUGGAAGUGAGGGAGUGAAGUGAGUCUAGUCCAGACCUAUGAGCUUGUGGAGCUGCCAGAAUCCCUCCCGGGGGUAGAUCCCAGCCUUGUGUCUCCAGAGAGCUCUGCUCCAACCCCAACCUUCAGGCAGAAUGGAAGGCGAGAGGGGGGCGUGAACGGGAUCACCAACGACAACCAGGACCAUUCCAAACCAGGGAGAAGGGGGUGGUCUCCACUCCCCCUGCCUCCCCCGCCCCACCCCCUUCAGUCAAACAUCAGACACCAAAGUUUCCUUAGUAGGCUCUGUUUCGUGCCCACCCUUGAAGAGUAAGAAAAACUUGAGUCUGAAGCCCUGGGCAAGUUUUUUAACUUCUCAAGGCCUGUAUACUCAUCCGUUUAGGGAUAAUAAAACCCACCUCCAAGGGGAAUGCCAUGAUUAAUGCAUGCAGAUUGCUUGUUACUGGCACACGGCAGUUAGUACAUAAAUGAGAGCCGUUAGUUAUGAGUAUAA